AACGAACGCUGGCGGCAUGCCUAACACAUGCAAGUCGAACGAGACCUUCGGGUCUAGUGGCGCACGGGUGCGUAACGCGUGGGAACCUGCCCUUAGGUUCGGAAUAACUCCCCGAAAGGGGUGCUAAUACCGGAUAAUGUCUUCGGACCAAAGAUUUAUCGCCUUUGGAUGGGCCCGCGUUGGAUUAGCUAGUUGGUAGGGUAAAAGCCUACCAAGGCGACGAUCCAUAGCUGGUCUGAGAGGAUGAUCAGCCACACUGGGACUGAGACACGGCCCAGACUCCUACGGGAGGCAGCAGUGGGGAAUAUUGGACGCUGGGCGAAAGCCUGAUCCAGCAAUGCCGCGUGAGUGAGGAAGGCCUUAGGGUUGUAAAUCUCUUUUACACGGGAUGAUAAUGACAGUACCGGGAGAAUAAGCUCCGGCUAACUCCGUG
rnacentral:rRNA from 1 species